GUGGACAAUCCCAAUAGCUGUGGGGAGAUGGGAGGCCUUUAGCAUAGCCAUAAUUUGGUUUGCAUUAGUUACUGAUCCUCCUUUUGUGCCCCCAUGAUAUACCAUCUGCACCCGAUGAGCAGAUCCUUCACGGGAGCAACAGUGGUCGAUGCAUAAGGAAGUCAUGAGUCCUCCAGUCCUUGCCUUUACUCUGCGAACAGAAACAAAUCACGGAUUUCACAGAACUGUAGGCUCCCUUCUGGAAAACUGAGCUAACACUGAUCAUAAAGAUCUCCCGAACCUUCUGCCUCACUCCUCCUGUUAUACCUGCCCUCAACUCCAGCACACUUUCUGGGAACUCACCACCCAAAGCCUAAUUGAGAAGCAAGAAGGCCAGCAAAGCAGGUCCAGGGUCCCACAAUCACAGCUCUAAAAGAUUCUCUGUGUGAAGUGUUUGAAGAAGUGGUGGACGUGACACUGAUCUUGGAGCCGCAUUCCCUGACUCUGUUAAGAGUGCAUUGUGUAUACUACAAAGCCACAUUGCCUUUCGGCAGAAUGAGCACCCAAAACUCAAGUCAUUACCAAGGUGAGAAAAAGAUAAAGUAAUGCCUUUUUGCAUUAUUUCCUCACAGGGUUGUUUUGUUUUUUAUGAUUGGUACAAGAAAGGAAAGAGAGAAGGUUUAACAGAGGAAAAUGCUGCCUCUCACUUGGCUGCUAGGAGACAGAAGGAUGCAUUCAGGGAACGUAUGUGAUGAGAGUUUUGGGCCCAGUCCACAGACACUAUGUGGAGAGGCUGAUAUGUCAGCCAGAAACACUCACUGAGCAGCAACAUUUUCAGAUCCACAGGAUACCAACCCAAUUCCAUCAAAAGCAGGACAUUAGUGAGACAUGCUGGUUUCAAGCACCAACAGAGAGAGGAAAAGCUCAAAGGCAGCUAUCUGAUGGAGUGGAACAUUCUGAAGGGUUGGCUAUUCUAAUUGCUUGACCAGUUCGGUGCCCCACCUCCCCCACUGCUGCACUGGAGGGCUAAGUGAUCAAUCCUCAUCAGCCUCAAUUCAGCAUCUGGAGUCUUAUAGGCUGGUGGGUGGGAAAGCAAACAGGAACAACUUGAGACAUAGAAACUGAAAAGGUGGGGCUAGAGAGGAUGAUGCUUGCAGGAGUAUGUGGGGGACAGCCCAGGAUUGCU
rnacentral:lncRNA from 1 species